CCUACGGGGUGCAGCAGUGAGGAAUAUUGGUCAAUGGUCGGGAGACUGAACCAGCCAAGCCGCGUGAGGGAUGAAGGUACAGAGUAUCGUAAACCUCUUUUGUCAGGGAACAAAGGCGGGGACGUGUCCCCGGAUGAGUGUACCUGAAGAAAAAGCAUCGGCUAACUCCGUGCCAGCAGCCGCGGUAAUACGGAGGAUGCGAGCGUUAUCCGGCUUUAUUGGGUUUAAAGGGGGCGCAGGCGGUCUGUUCAGUCAGCGGUAAAAGCCCGGGGCUCAACCCCGGCCCGCCGUUGAACCUGGCAGUCUCGAGUUGGCGAGAAGUAUGCGGAAUGCGCGGUGUAGCGGUGAAAUGCAUAGAUAUCGCGCAGAACUCCGAUUGCGAAGGCAGCAUGCCGGCUCCACACUGACGCUGAGGCACGAAAGCGUGGGUAUCGAACAGGAUUAGAUACCCUUGUAGUC
rnacentral:rRNA from 1 species